rnacentral:ncRNA from 2 species
GAACCAUCUAGUAGCUGGUUCCCUC